rnacentral:rRNA from 2 species
CUAAUACAUGCAAGUCGAACGAGUUCUGAUUAUUGAAAGGUGCUUGCAUCUUGAUUUAAUUUUGAACGAGUGGCGGACGGGUGAGUAACACGUGGGUAACCUGCCCUUAAGUGGGGGAUAACAUUUGGAAACAGAUGCUAAUACCGCAUAAAUCCAAGAACCGCAUGGUUCUUGGCUGAAAGAUGGCGCAAGCUAUCGCUUUUGGAUGGACCCGCGGCGUAUUAGCUAGUUGGUGAGGUAACGGCUCACCAAGGCAAUGAUACGUAGCCGAACUGAGAGGUUGAUCGGCCACAUUGGGACUGAGACACGGCCCAAACUCCUACGGGAGGCAGCAGUAGGGAAUCUUCCACAAUGGACGCAAGUCUGAUGGAGCAACGCCGCGUGAGUGAAGAAGGCUUUCGGGUCGUAAAACUCUGUUGUUGGAGAAGAAUGGUCGGCAGAGUAACUGUUGUCGGCGUGACGGUAUCCAACCAGAAAGCCACGGCUAACUACGUGCCAGCAGCCGCGGUAAUACGUAGGUGGCAAGCGUUAUCCGGAUUUAUUGGGCGUAAAGCGAGCGCAGGCGGUUUUUUAAGUCUGAUGUGAAAGCCCUCGGCUUAACCGAGGAAGUGCAUCGGAAACUGGGAAACUUGAGUGCAGAAGAGGACAGUGGAACUCCAUGUGUAGCGGUGAAAUGCGUAGAUAUAUGGAAGAACACCAGUGGCGAAGGCGGCUGUCUGGUCUGUAACUGACGCUGAGGCUCGAAAGCAUGGGUAGCGAACAGGAUUAGAUACCCUGGUAGUCCAUGCCGUAAACGAUGAAUGCUAGGUGUUGGAGGGUUUCCGCCCUUCAGUGCCGCAGCUAACGCAUUAAGCAUUCCGCCUGGGGAGUACGACCGCAAGGUUGAAACUCAAAGGAAUUGACGGGGGCCCGCACAAGCGGUGGAGCAUGUGGUUUAAUUCGAAGCAACGCGAAGAACCUUACCAGGUCUUGACAUCUUUUGAUCACCUGAGAGAUCAGGUUUCCCCUUCGGGGGCAAAAUGACAGGUGGUGCAUGGUUGUCGUCAGCUCGUGUCGUGAGAUGUUGGGUUAAGUCCCGCAACGAGCGCAACCCUUAUGACUAGUUGCCAGCAUUUAGUUGGGCACUCUAGUAAGACUGCCGGUGACAAACCGGAGGAAGGUGGGGAUGACGUCAAAUCAUCAUGCCCCUUAUGACCUGGGCUACACACGUGCUACAAUGGAUGGUACAACGAGUUGCGAGACCGCGAGGUCAAGCUAAUCUCUUAAAGCCAUUCUCAGUUCGGACUGUAGGCUGCAACUCGCCUACACGAAGUCGGAAUCGCUAGUAAUCGCGGAUCAGCACGCCGCGGUGAAUACGUUCCCGGGCCUUGUACACACCGCCCGUCACACCAUGAGAGUUUGUAACACCCGAAGCCGGUGGCGUAACCCUUUUAGGGAGCGAGCCGUCUAAG